GGGGGUAUAGCUCAGCUGGGAGAGCGCUUGCAUGGCAUGCAAGAGGUCCGCGGUUCGAUCCCGCGUAUCUCCACCA
rnacentral:tRNA from 2 species